rnacentral:rRNA from 1 species
AGUGAACGCUGGCGGUAGGCCUAACACAUGCAAGUCGAACGGCAGCACAGUAAGAGCUUGCUCUUACGGGUGGCGAGUGGCGGACGGGUGAGGAAUACAUCGGAAUCUACUUUUUCGUGGGGGAUAACGUAGGGAAACUUACGCUAAUACCGCAUACGACCUACGGGUGAAAGCAGGGGAUCUUCGGACCUUGCGCGAUUGAAUGAGCCGAUGUCGGAUUAGCUAGUUGGCGGGGUAAAGGCCCACCAAGGCGACGAUCCGUAGCUGGUCUGAGAGGAUGAUCAGCCACACGGGAACUGAGACACGGUCCAGACUCCUACGGGAGGCAGCAGUGGGGAAUAUUGGCCAAUGGGCGCAAGCCUGAUCCAGCCAUACCGCGUGGGUGAAGAAGGCCUUCGGGUUGUAAAGCCCUUUUGUUGGGAAAGAAAAGCAGCAGGUUAAUACCCCGCUGUUCUGACGGUACCCAAAGAAUAAGCACCGGCUAACUUCGUG